AAGCAGCACAGAAUGGUUUGU
rnacentral:miRNA from 1 species